AGGAUCACCAAUGCAGUCCAGGCUGACUCACCCUUCUGAAGGAUGGAGUCACAGAUGUGUGCCACCACAAGAAGCACAAGGUUUUGUUUUUUGAAGGUUGAAACAUGAGUUCAUGUUCCUGGCUACAAGGUUUGAAAGCCUAGUGCUGGCCCAGCUGGAAGGGAUGCAGGAUAUCGGUUCAAGGGGAAGACGACUCCAACUCCAGCUGCCUCUGCUAAGGCCACCCGUACCACCUCACUCUGCCAAGGCAUCUUUGUUUCUCACCAUUGUUUUUUGAGGUUUUGUGACUGUUGUAGUUCGCACAUCACAUCCCAGAGUUCACUUCUGCGCUGCAGAGCGUUCGAACAGCAUCACUCAAAAUGAAGAAUGUACUUGCUGUCACUCCAUACAUCUGAGCCUGGGUUUCUGUACAACUGUACUCGCCACCCCAUCCCUGGGUCCAUGGCUUCGCAUCACCUUGCUGUGUCACACCGGCCUCGAAGCCCCUCCUGUAGAAGCCGAGCGUUUUGAUGCUGUGUCUGUAAAACUCCUGCUUUAUAUUAUGAAGGUGUGGGAACAUGGACGAAAACCCAAUCGGGAGGGAUGCUGCCAGAUCUUACUGUUCCAUUUGUCUUAGUCCAUUAGGGCUGCUUUGACAGAUGACCAUAGAUGAAGUGAUUCCAACCACAAGCAUUUACUUCUCCUCGCUGCAGCUGCUGCAGGUCCGAGGUGAGGGGUGAGGAGGUGACAUCUGGGAAAGCCCCCAUCCCUGGCCUGUAGGAGUUCUUGUUGUGGUCUCUUACACUGGAGAGCUGGGAGGAGGUUCACCACCAUGGACAGGAACAGUUCAUUCAUUCA